rnacentral:rRNA from 1 species
GACGAACCGAGCGAACGUUGUUCGGAAUAACUGGGCUUAAAGGGCGCGUAGGCGGGCCGCCAAGUUCGAGGUGAAAUCCUCCGGCUCAACCGGAGAACUGCCUCGAAUACUGGAGGCCUCGAGGCGGGUAGGGGCACGCGGAACUGUGGGUGGAGCGGUGAAAUGCGUUGAUAUCCACAGGAACUCCGGUGGCGAAGGCGGCGUGCUGGACAGAUACCGACGCUGAGGCACGAAAGCUAGGGGAGCAAACAGG